CCUAGCUUCUCCUUUCAUCCCCUUCCCCUUCCAGAUCUUCUUCGUUUUCAUUUCUUCUCUCUUCUCGUUCACAUUUUCUUCAAGAACAGCAACCGACAAAGCCUUCAAUUCCUCGACAUUUGUGCCAAUUAAAUUCCCCGUCACCUUCCCCUCCUCCUCUUGUGCCCUGGCCUCUCCUUUCUUCUUCCCCGUCCUCUUCCAGCUCUUCUUCUUCGUUUUCAUUUCUUCUCUCUUGUCAUUCACAUUUUCUUCAAGAAAAGAAACCAACACAGCCUUCGAUUCCUCGACAUUUGUGCCAAUUAAAUUCCCCGUCAACUUCCCCUCCUCCUCUUGUGCCCUGGCCUCUCCUUUCUUCUUCCCCGUCCUCUUCCAGCUCUUCUUCUUCGUUUUCAUUUCUUCUCUCUUGUCAUUCACAUUUUCUUCAAGAAAAGCAACCAACACAGUCUUCGAUUCCUCGACAUUUGUGCCAAUUAAAUUCCCCGUCACCUCCCCCUCCUCUUGUGCCCUGGCUUCUCCUUUCUUCUUCUUCUUCCUCUCAUUCCCCUUGCUCCUCUUCUUCGUUUUCAUUUCUUCUCUCUUCUCAUCCACGUUUUCUUCAAGAUCAGCAACCGACACAGCCUUCGAUUCCUCGACAUUUGUGCCAACUAAACUCCAGCGGUGAGAUUCCCGGUUGGAAUUUCUUCGAAUUGAUGGAGGAGACACAGACACUGAAGGUGACAGGU
rnacentral:lncRNA from 1 species